GCAGUCGCCGCGGGAAUACGUAGGUGGCAAGCGUUGUCCGGAAUUAUUGGGCGUAAAGGGCUCGCAGGCGGUUUCUUAAGUCUGAUGUGGAAGCCCCCGGCUCAACCGGGGAGGGUCAUUGGAAACUGGGAAACUUGAGUGCAGAAGAGGAGAGUGGAAUUCCACGUGUAGCGGUGAAAUGCGUAGAGAUGUGGAGGAACACCAGUGGCGAAGGCGACUCUUUGGUCUGUAACUGACGCCGAGGAGCGAAAGCGUGGGGAGCGAACAGGAUUAGAUACCCCCGUAGUCCUGUCUCUUAUACA
rnacentral:rRNA from 1 species